rnacentral:rRNA from 1 species
CGGCGUGGAUUAGGCAUGCAAGUCGAACGAGAAAGUGCCUUCGGGCAUAAGUAAAGUGGCGAACUGGUGAGUAAUAGGUGGGUAAUGUGCCUCGUAGCGGGGGAUAACAGUUGGAAACAGCUGCUAAUACCGCAUACGACGCGAGAAACGAUGGUUUUUCGCGUCAAAGACUGGCGCGUGCCGCCGAAAGAGCAGCCCGCUCCCGAUUAGCUAGUUGGUAAGGUAAUGGCUUACCAAGGCGACGAUCGGUAGGUGGCCUGAGAGGGUGGUCACCCACACUGGGACUGAGAUACGGCCCAGACUCCUACGGGGGGCAGCAGUCUAGAAGCUUCCACAAUGGACGAAAGUCUGAUGGAGCGACGCCGCGUGCGGGAUUGAAGGUCGUGAGAUCGUAAACCGCUGUCAGCAGGGAAGAAUGCCCGAAUGGUGAAUUUGGGAGAGACGGUACCUGCAGAGGAAGCCCCGGCUAACUCCGUGCCAGCAGCCGCGGUAAUACGGAGGGGGCAAACGUUGUUCGGAAUUACUGGGCGUAAAGAGUACGUAGGCGGUUCGAUCAGUCUGGUGUGAAAGCCCCAUGCUUAACAUGGGAUCCGCAUUGGAUACUGUCGAGCUCGAGAGCGGAAGAGGCAGGUGGAAUUCCUGGUGUAGCGGUGGAAUGCGUAGAUAUCAGGAAGAACACUCGUGGCGAAGGCGGCCUGCUGGUCCGUUUCUGACGCUGAGGUACGAAAGCUAGGGGAGCGAACGGGAUUAGAUACCCCGGUAGUCCUAGCCGUAAACGGUGAACACUGGGUGUCGGGGGUAUCGACCCCCUCGGUGCCGAAGCUAACGCAUUAAGUGUUCCGCCUGGGGAGUACGGUCGCAAGUCUGAAACUCAAAGGAAUUGACGGGGGCCCGCACAAGCGGUGGAGGAUGUGGUUUAAUUCGACGCAACGCGCAGAACCUUACCUGGGCUUAAACCGCAGGAUAAACCAUUCGAAAGGAUGGCUGCUUCGGCAAUCCUGUAGAGGUGCUGCAUGGCUGUCGUCAGCUCGUGUCGUGAGAUGUUGGGUUAAGUCCCGCAACGAGCGCAACCCUUGUCGUUAGUUACCAGCACGUAAUGGUGGGGACUUUAACGAGACUGCCGUCGUCAGGUGGAGGAAGGUGGGGACCACCUCAAGUCAUCAUGGCCCUUAUGUCCAGGGCUACACACGUCCUACAAUGGCGAGUACAACGGGCAGCUAAGCCGCGAGGCCACGCUAAUCCCUUAAAGCUCGUCCCAGUUCGGAUAGCAGUCUGCAACUCGACUGCUUGAAGGCGGAAUCGCUAGUAAUCGCGGAACAGCAUGCCGCGGUGAAUACGUUCCCGGGCCUUGUACACACCGCCCGUCACAUCACGAAAGUCAGUUGUACCAGAAGUCGCUAAGCUAACCGCAAGGAGGCAGGCGCCUAAGGUAUGGCCGGUAAUUGGGGUUAAGUCGUAACAAGGUAACCGUA